rnacentral:lncRNA from 1 species
GUGCGUUAGGAGCAAUAGAGCUUCAUAAGAAAUCAUCCUUGGAUAAGUCAAAUAUCUGAAAGAUGUGAGGUUUGAAAAGAAUAGAGGUAGGUAGAGAAGAUUUGGAGCUCCUACUUCAAUAAAAUAAAGAAAACAAUAAUGAUGAUGAAGAGAGGAGAAUGAUAGUAAUUAUCAUGUUUAGGUCAAGUAAACAAGUAUUACUGCUGCAAAGAUGGACACAUUAUUCACACGCGGGUUUGAAAUUAUUCUACAAUGUGAUACAUGUAUUCUUCCCAAUAAUAUUGUUAAAUCCUUUCCCAACACUGCUAUUCUACAAUACAAUACUCGUGCAUUUUUAUUUUAACAAAAUCACAAAUCUUCUCGUUUAACAAUGUUCUUGAUUCAAACCCACCGUCAGGAUUACAAUCACCAAAAAAUUUAUUGUUGCUAACCAGAAUAUAUCCUUAAUCAUAAUUUAUAUAAAAUAUAAGAUAGAUUUGAAAAAUGACA